AAGUCGUAACAAGGUUUCCGUAGGUGAACCUGCGGAAGGAUCAUUAACACGUAUCCAAACGUUAAACCCCCCUGUGAACCUUCAAUCCCUGGUGAAUCAUCGCCGAACAGUUUUCGAUUCAGGGACGUCUGCAAGGAGCGUGCAUGUUGUGCGUGUAAGUGGCCUGGUAUCCCCAAGCAGUUAGUGUCUGAAAGUGUCACUAACGUUAGUGUCUGAAAGUGUCACUAACAUGUGUAAGGAUGACGCAGUCACGAUCGUUGGAGGCCCACACGGCCGACGACCGGGUCACCGGGUGCAAGCCCCCUUAUCACACCCCUGCUCUAUCUAUGGUGAUCCUGCGGGAAGUCCUGCGGUCGAACGCCGAAACCGAACAACUGUUAACAAUGGAUAUCUUGGUUCUC
rnacentral:misc_RNA from 1 species